GGAUCCAGACUUUGAUUAUGGCUCAGGAUGAACGCUAGCUACAGGCCUAACACAUGCAAGUCGAGGGGAAACGGCAGCUUAGCUUGCUAAGCUGGACGUCGACCGGCGCACGGGUGAGUAACGCGUAUCCAACCUGCCCCACGGUGAGGGAUAACCCGCGGAAACGCGGCCUAAUACCUCAUGGUCUCCGAGCUUGACAUCAACCUUGGAGUAAAGAUUCAUUGCCGUGGGAUGGGGAUGCGUCUGAUUAGCUUGUUGGCGGGGCAACGGCCCACCAAGGCAACGAUCAGUAGGGGUUCUGAGAGGAAAGCCCCCCACAUUGGAACUGAGACACGGUCCAAACUCCUACGGGAGGCAGCAGUGAGGAAUAUUGGUCAAUGGGCGAGAGCCUGAACCAGCCAAGUAGCGUGCAGGAAGACGGCCCUAUGGGUUGUAAACUGCUUUUAUGCGGGGAUAAAGCGGGCGACGUGUCGCCCUUUGCAGGUACCGCAUGAAUAAGGACCGGCUAAUUCCGUGCCAGCAGCCGCGGUAAUACGGAAGGUCCGGGCGUUAUCCGGAUUUAUUGGGUUUAAAGGGAGCGCAGGCCGGGUAUUAAGCGUGUUGUGAAAUGUAGGCGCCCAACGUCUGCACCGCAGCGCGAACUGGUGCCCUUGAGUACGCACGACGUUGGCGGAAUUCGCCGUGUAGCGGUGAAAUGCUUAGAUAUGGCGAAGAACUCCGAUUGCGAAGGCAGCUGACGGGAGCGCUACUGACGCUCAUGCUCGAAAGCGCGGGUAUCGAACAGGAUUAGAUACCCUGGUAGUCCGCGCGGUAAACGAUGGAUGCCCGCUAUUUGCGCAUUAGCGCAAGUGGCCAAGUGAAAACGUUAAGCAUCCCACCUGGGGAGUACGCCGGCAACGGUGCAACUCAAAGGAAUUGACGG
rnacentral:rRNA from 1 species